AUUGCAGGGGUGGAAUUCUCGUGUUUUUGUUUUCUCUGUUUUGUUCAAACGACGUUUCCACAACGUUGACGGUUUAUAAGCUUUAUUACUUCCGAAAACAGACAAAAAUGAAUCCAUAUGCCCUAAAGCGAUACACCCUAAAAGGAAGUGUAUAAAACCCACAGAUUUGAGACAAAAAUGGCUGGGUGAGGAAUUCGUUCCUCAGUUCAAUCUGGAAACUGGUAAUCGGAGAAGCUCAAGCUUCGUAUAAACAGCGUCACACUAUGAAAGUUUUCAUCAAUUCCAUUGCGAAAAUUCACCAAGUAAUGUCGUCUGCAUUACCAUCUUCGGAGGUGGUGUUUGCGGUCAUGAUAGCCUCACUAGUGACAUUACCGUCAGCACAGGUCAUCGUGAUGGUGUGUUUGUUAUACGGUUGCUUGCAGUGCAUUUCCAUUAUUGUGGUUCUCGGUGUUUCGCUGUAUACAAUUCCAAUAAGGCUAUGUACUUCUACCUACCGUGACGGCCAUUCUAGCAGGCGAUAUCCACCCAUUUUUCUGCCCCUUCGAGCUCGGCAUGUUGACCAAUUCAUGGAGCGCGACGGCGCCAAACAUCGCAAUUUUCAUUGACAUUGACUUGUCAGUAUAAAGACUCGCCCUGUGAUCUCAACCAGUUUUAUCCAUCGCUUCCAACUCAAUACAUCGCACACAUGAAGUUUAAGGUUGAAAUGAAAAUGUAUUUCUUUUGCCACCAACCAAUACAUUGUUAGUAUUCAGAA